rnacentral:pre_miRNA from 1 species
UUGACUCAAAUUUGAAUGGAGUUGGAACGUUUGUGUACGUUUGCAGCUGGGGCGCUGUUCCAACUGCAUAUGCAUUUGAAUGA